rnacentral:rRNA from 1 species
GCCUAGAGGUUAUUAAGAGAAAUAUUUGCUGGUUUGUGUGCCUUUUGCUUCAUGCUAUAACGAUUAUGAUAAAAAACCUUUGAUAACCGAAAAGAGGGGAUCUUUGGUAUAAUUAUAUUGAGGUAUUCUGGGCGUGUAGCUAGGAAAAUUAUACUAAUGGGGUGAAAAAUUAGUCGUUCCUCUUUAUAUCUGUUUAUCGGGUUGUUAGUUAUAAAGUUAAUUAGCAAGAAAGUUAAUUAAUGUGUUAUACAACGAAAAUAUAUUCUUUGCAACUGAGGUUAAAAUUACCUCUGUAUAAUAAAUUUGUUAUAAAGUUAAUAAAUUUGUGGGCGUUGUUAAGUAUAAACCCCGAGGUAUAAACUGUAUUCUAGAUAUAAUGUUAUAAUAAGUAAUUUUAUUACCCUCCUUCAUUCUCAAGGAUAGCCCAUCUGUUUAUCAAAAACAUUUCUAUAUGUGAAUAUUAUAUAGUAAGACCUGCCCAAUGUUUACAUGAAUGGCCGCAGUAUAUUGACUGUGCGAAGGUAGCAUAAUUAAUUGCCCCAUAAUUGGGGGCUUGUUUGAAUGGUUUAAUGAGGUUGUACCUAAGAUGGUGGGUUUUAUUGAAAUUAAUAUUAUGGGUUCAGAAUCCAUAGUGUUUAGUUAGACGGAAAGACCCCGGGAUCUUUUAAUUUUAUCUGGGGCAGAUGUGUAUAGUUUAUAUAUUUUUUGAUCCUUAGGGACAUAGGUUUAAGUUACCCCGGGGAUAACAGUGUAAUAAUUUAGGAAAGUUCCCAUCAAUUAAAUUGCUUGCCACCUCGAUGUUGACUUAAGCUAUCGCCGGGGCGCAGUUGCUCGGGUGUUUGGUCUGUUCGACCAAUAAAGCUUCCAUGAGUUGAGUUAAGACCGGCGUAAGCCAGGUCGGUUCUUAUCUACUUUUCUAGCUAUUUAGUACGAAAGGACCAAUAGCUAUUUUAGU